rnacentral:rRNA from 1 species
CCCAGCAGCCAUAUCACCCUGCAACUUACAAUUAGCAGCCCUUCUGAAGCUAAGCAGGUGUGAGCCUGGUCAGUACCUGGAUGGGAGACUCCUAGGAAAAACUAAGGUUGCUGCUGGAA